GAUGAACGCUGGCGGCGUGCCUAAUACAUGCAAGUCGAGCGAACAGACGAGGAGCUUGCUCCUCUGACGUUAGCGGCGGACGGGUGAGUAACACGUGGAUAACCUACCUAUAAGACUGGGAUAACUUCGGGAAACCGGAGCUAAUACCGGAUAAUAUAUUGAACCGCAUGGUUCAAUAGUGAAAGACGGUUUUGCUGUCACUUAUAGAUGGAUCCGCGCCGCAUUAGCUAGUUGGUAAGGUAACGGCUUACCAAGGCGACGAUGCGUAGCCGACCUGAGAGGGUGAUCGGCCACACUGGAACUGAGACACGGCCCAGACACCUACGGGAGGCAGCAGUAGGGAAUCUUCCGAAAUGGGCGAAAGCCUGACGGAGCAACGCCGCGUGAGUGAUGAAGGUCUUCGGAUCGUAAAACUCUGUUAUUAGGGAAGAACAAAUGUGUAAGUAACGAUGCACGUCUUGACGGUACCUAAGCAGAAAGCCACGGCUAACUACGU
rnacentral:rRNA from 1 species